rnacentral:rRNA from 1 species
CAGCAGCCGCGGUAAUACAGAGGGUGCGAGCGUUAAUCGGAUUUACUGGGCGUAAAGCGUGCGUAGGCGGCUUUUUAAGUCGGAUGUGAAAUCCCUGAGCUUAACUUAGGGAUUGCAUUCGAUACUGGGAAGCUAGAGUAUGGGAGAGGAUGGUAGAAUUCCAGGUGUAGCGGUGAAAUGCGUAGAGAUCUGGAGGAAUGCCGAUGGCGAAGGCAGCCAUCUGGCCUAAUACUGACGCUGAGGUACGAAAGCAUGGGGAGCAAACAGGAUUAGAUACCCCGGUAGUCCCUGUCUCUUAUAC